UACCAAACAGUUUUGACAUUCAAUGUGAAGAAAAGUUGAGUUCGGAUCGAUAGUCCAUAUUUUUUCUCGAUUUUUGCAUAGAAAUCUGUUCCGGAACGCCUGGGAAUUCGACAGGAUGAACCGUGCGCAGGUGGCCAACCUGCUUGAGGAGCUGAAAAAGUCCCCAGAUAAAGCUACCGUCUACCGGAGACUGGUACGUGUACGAACGGAGGUCAUCAACACGGAAGCAGGGACGGAACUUUUCUUCGAGCUGGACGGGAUUCGUCUGCUGGUGAGCCUGCUGGCGAAACCGUACGAAAAGGUGCUGGAAGUGGUUCUUAGCAUCCUCGGGAACUGUUGCGUACGGAAGGAGUGUGCUAGACAGGCAUUUGAAGAGGGAAUCCUAACGCCCCUGAUCUCCAUUAUAGCCAAUAUACCGAAUCCAGCUAUUCAGUGCCGCGGUUGUCGAUUACUGGGUAAUUUAGCACAAUUUCCGGUAAUAAUGCACUCCAUUGGGAAAAAUAGUAGCAGUAAUACAACGUACGCUCUAACGUCAAUACUUACCGAUUCGAACAACACUGCCGUUCUGAUAAUGUCCAUUCGGGCCAUAAGACAGAUGUGGAAUGAGAGAACAGUUCGUAAUCUAUUAAUUGGCCAGGGAUGCAUAAAAAAAAUUGUCGAUUUGCUUGUCAAAUUUGCACGAAAUGAAGCCAAGGCUUUGGAAUCUGUAGAAAGUCCCACCGAUGAGGAAACGCUUGGGGAAGAGACGGAGAAGGUUGUAAUCAAGCGCUUGCACGCCCCCGACCGUACCAUAACUAAGGAGAAAUUCAAGAACAUUGUGCGACAUAUGGAGAACAGUCAUCAUUGCGACAUUGUAGGUUAUCAGUUGAUUCAAAGCUACCGAUGGAGAGAUUCUCAAGAUUUUAAGAUGCCGGAGGCAAAGGAGACGGUAGAGCUGUUCAUCGGGAUUCUGAAAUGUCUACAAACCAUAACAUCUACGAUCAGUGCUCAGGUGGCCGAUCAACUAUACGGUGAGCAGGGCUGCGGCAUGAAAUGUUUGGUGUUCCUUUGCUCCGAGAGCAGUCAGUUUCGAACGUUGGCACUGAAAAUUGUGUAUCAUUUGGCAUCAAAUCCCGAUGCUAUCGCGAAGCUGACCGCCUGCGAUGUGAUAACGAUGGCAUCGGACCUCAUAAUGUAUGCUAAUUUAGAUGAUUCAGAGAAGCGUUAUUGCAUUAGUGUGAUAUGCCUGCUAGCCAAGGAAGCGUGCAAUCGAGGUCAUAUUCGACGCAGCGGUGCCCUGCAAACCCUAAUGAAAUUAGCCAAACAGUGCAAAGAAAGUCACGAACUUAGCAUAAUCCUAUACGCCCUUUAUCAGUACCGAUUUGAUAAUCUAAGCUACGAGAUUCUACUCAAUAAUGGUCUAGUGAGCUUCCUGGUAGGGGUUCUCAAUAACAUCAUUGCCGAGAAGGAAGUGCACCACAUCAAACACGACGAUGAGGAAACAAUGAAUACCAGUGUGUUCUCGAAACGAAAAUCUAGCAGCCAAAAAGCGAAACUGAAGCGAAGUGAUGAAUUAUUUAACUUUAAAACAUCUAGCUAUUAUCAGCAUUCAAAGGUGGCUAAAAUUGAUCCCUAUGGAUCGGCACCGGAAUCGCCGGAAAGUGGUAGCAGUGGAUAUGCCAGCACCAGCUACAAUGGCAUGCGAAACCCGUUCAGCAACAAUUCAAGUCCUGCCAGGACAGACGAGGGUAACGAAUUCGAGGACGAUGAUAUAUAUUCGCCCAUAUGUAGCGACGCCGAAGAAGACACAGAAAACAUUGCAACCUCUGACGAAAAAAAUCUCGCUGAACCAGAUACGGUCGACGAUAAUACCGAAGAUGCUAAAACCAGCAGUGAAUUCGACAUUCUAACAUACUUGUACGAUGACAACUCCAACACGAAUCUAAUGUCUGCCCCGGAUCUUAAUCGGGACGAAGAAGAACCGCUCAAUCAACAAGAGUCCCGAAAACGCAAUAACUGCAGCUUCGACGAUGCAAUUGACGACAACGAGAUCCAUGACAUUGAAUUAGAAAUUGUUUCCUCGAAGGCAUUCGAAAAGAAUCCAAUGCAACCAAUUCUAACGCUGCUAUGGUCGAUCUCGAAAUCCCACAAAGGAUUGGAAUUCGUUCAUCCGGGAACGUUGGCCACAUUGCUGAAGAUUUGCAAACAAACGAAGAAGCCAAGAGGACGCGCCUUCCAGAUUAUAGCGAACAUCAUCAAGCAUGUAGACCACUUUUUGCCCUUGUUAAAACAGGACUUUGUGUUUCGAUUAUAUGAAUGUAAACUGCCGUACAAUUCCCACACAAGGUGUUGGAGCUGUGAUGAGAUGAAAUCCGUGUGUAUUGAGCUGAUGACCCUGUUCGGAAACAUUUCGGAAACCGGCUAUGGCCAAGGGGAGAUUGCUCACAUACUUCGCACCGGGGAGCGCACUCUGCAGUUGCAAGUCUCCAUAAUUGUGCUUUACGUCGUCCGCGAUACCAAAUUACUCCAUAAGCUACUCUACGAUAUGAAAAUUUUGAAAACUGUGAUGAACAUUAUCCUCAAUGAAAACGACGACGAAGAGGAGGAACUGUACGAACAGCGAUUGAGCGUAGCCGCGUGUUCCGGUUUGACUACAUUGGCUCAGAAUCUGUGCAUCUGCGGCGAGGAAGAAGAUACCGGAACGCCUAGCGAAAUGCUGGUAGCCAAAGAGUUCGAUAACACGCUGACGAUUUGCAAUGAGAACAGCAACGAGGAGAAGGUCACGUUCAAGGUGACCAAUGCUAGUGGAACGAUCGACAGCGUUAGAGUGAGUAAGAACUUGUUGAUCCAGGGAAGCGAUGUGUUCCAGCGGAUGUUUGAUGGGGACCACUUCAUCGAAUCGAAAAAUAAUGAAGUUUUUCUGAAGGAAGAUAUCAGUGUGGACGGCUUGAAGUAUUUCUUCUACUUGAUAAGGCUGCAGACGGUGAAUAAGUUGACGGGAAUGGCCCCUCCACCGAAGGUCAUCGAAGCUAGUCUGGACGCACUGAGUUUAUCGCAGAAAUAUCUGCUACCGGCAGUGGAGCGGUCGGUUCAAAAUAUUGUCAAAACCUUGCUGAAUGAUGACUGUGUGUUGAACGUAUUCGAAUGGUCAUUGAAAAACUACAACCAAGAAUUACUGGUUGCGUCAACCUACUACUUCUUAUAUUCGGACAUUAGCGGAGCAACCAAAUGCAAACUGUUCCGAUCAGCGAAUAAGUCCGUCUAUCGAAAAGAGUGGCGAAGGCUAAUGGACGAGACCAUCCUGUGUCGAGUGCAAACUAACGCGGAAUAGAGAACUGAUUUUUUUUUGCAGCUGCAGGUCUGGUGCUGUGCUUAUUUAAUUCGUCUUCGUUAAGUGAAAAUUCUAAUAAAUUGUCUCGAAAGUGAGAACUGCAAGGAAGACAUAUUAUUUGGCUUAUUCGGUUAUUUGAGGUUCUUAGAAAUAUCCCUGAAACGCCGCCAGUAUCCUAAGAUGCUCCCAUGCCCGCUCCCGUUUACUGCAUUGAUCAUCAGGCAAGGACGACGCUAUAAUACAGAACGCCGAAAAAACGACCGGGCUCGCGACCGAGCGGGACAUGGAAUCAUGGAAUCGGAAGAUAAUAUGUAGUUCCGGUACCCAUUUGUGUCCGACGAAAACAUCAUCAUGCAUUGUAUAAAGAACUACUCUGCGAACCCCGACGAAUGCAUGGAUUUUUCCAGCCGCCUUGGCGAAUGAGAGCUUGCACUAUUUUAUAAAGAAAUAAUUAAAAUAAUAAAAUUCAUAAACUUCA